rnacentral:rRNA from 1 species
UACGGGGGGAGCAAGCGUUGUUCGGAUUUACUGGGCGUAAAGGGCGCGUAGGCGGCCAGCACAAGUCAGUUGUGAAAUCUCCGAGCUUAACUCGGAAAGGUCACCUGAUACUGUGCGGCUAGAGUGCGGAAGGGGCAACUGGAAUUCUUGGUGUAGCGGUGAAAUGCGUAGAUAUCAAGAGGAACACCUGCGGCGAAGGCGGGUUGCUGGGCCGACACUGACGCUGAUGCGCGAAAGCUAGGGGAGCGAACGGG